rnacentral:lncRNA from 1 species
GUGAAGUUAGAGAAUGUUUGACCUUGCACUGUCAGUAGACCGUAUUCAAGUGAUAAAUGAAACUCAUUGACAAACAAUGUAACAAAGCAUCUGGAAAACAGAGUAGUUCAAGUUCCCCAAAAGUAUUCAGUUAAAGACUCAAGGAAGUUCCUUUGAAGAUGUGUGAAUGUCAUCUACAUUGCUCCUGACCCUCCUGCCUCAUCUUUUCUGAGCUUCCACCACUGACGUGUCAGAUCAACUAAACCAGCUACUAUGGCACUAUGGAAAAUUCCUUCAGAAAAAGCAUGUACUCUUGGCAGCAUCACCAUUUUUUGUGAUGAACUAGAGUCAACGACCUAAAGAGAAGGGCAAUCUGAGCUACACUUGACCUGAGACUCCAAAUCAUUGCCAAGUGGGAAAAUUAUUUCUAGGUUCCUGAACGCCCAUAUCUAGGUGAGUAUGAUGAAUCUUCCUGAU